rnacentral:rRNA from 1 species
AUUGAACGCUGGCGGCAUGCCUUACACAUGCAAGUCGAACGGCAGCACGGGUGCUUGCACCUGGUGGCGAGUGGCGAACGGGUGAGUAAUACAUCGGAACGUACCUUAUCGUGGGGGAUAACGCAGCGAAAGCUGUGCUAAUACCGCAUACGCCCUGAGGGGGAAAGCGGGGGAUCGCAAGACCUCGCGCGAUUAGAGCGGCCGAUGCCUGAUUAGCUUGUUGGUGGGGUAAAAGCCCACCAAGGCGACGAUCAGUAGCUGGUCUGAGAGGACGAUGAGCAGCACUGGGACUGAGACACGGCCCAGACUCCUCCGGGAGGCAGCAGUGGGGAAUUUUGGACAAUGGGGGCAACCCUGAUCCAGCAAUGCCGCGUGAGUGAAGAAGGCCUUCGGGUUGUAAAGCUCUUUUGUCAGGGAAGAAACACCGGCUCUAACACAGUCCGGGAAUGACGGUACCUGAAGAAUAAGCACCGGCUAACUACGUGCCAGCCGCCGCGGUAA